UGGUAAACUCGUCUACGUAGUUGAGCGAGAGAGUAAGUAGUAUAGGGCAUUAUCCAUUAGUAGGCGACGGUUGUAAUGGUAGUAAGAAUGUACGGCCGUCUUUGUAGCGGACGUGGGAGUGGGAAGCAUAAGGGAUGAAGCCGGGGGUAACAUGUCGGAUGCGAUCAUACCAGCACUAAAGCACCGGAUCCCAUCAGAACUCCGAAGUUAAGCGUGCUUGGGCGAGAGUAGUACUAGGAUGGGUGACCUCUUGGGAAGUCCUCGUGUUGCAUUCCCUUUUUUAAUUAUUUUUGUACGUACGUGAGGAACAGAACGCACGUGCGUGAUAUAUAUUAAGCCUGUCAUCAUAUUUUUGACAUUUGCGAUAUGUUUUAGCUCGGAGCUCAUUAGUCACGCGUCUAGGGAGAGUUGGGGCGCGAAAAGCGCGUUCUGAAAGGGGUGUAAAAUACGUGUUGCUGCGGUAUAGAGGGAGGGGUGGAAAUCGUGGUAAACUCGUCUUCGUAGUUGAGCGAGACAGUAAGUAGUAUAGGGCAUUAUCCAUUAGUAGGCGACGGUUGUAAUGGUAGUAAGAAUGUAUGGCCGUCUUUGUAGCGGACGUGGGAGUGGGAAGCAUAAGUGAUGAAGCCGGGGGUAACAUGUCGGAUGCGAUCAUACCAGCACUAAAGCACCGGAUCCCAUCAGAACUCUGAAGUUAAGCGUGCUUGGGCGAGAGUAGUACUAGGAUGGGUGACCUCCUGGGAAGUGCUCGUGUUGCAUUCCCUUUUUAAUUAUUUUUGUACGUACGUGAGGAACAGAACGCACGUGCGUGAUAUAUAUUAAGCCUGUCAUCAUAUUUUUGACAUUUGCGAUAUGUUUUAGCUCGGAGCUCAUUAGUCACGCGUCUAGGGAGAGUUGGGGCGCGAAAAGCGCGUUCUGAAAGGGGUGUAAAAUACGUGUUGCUGCGGUAUAGAGAGAGGGGUGGAAAUCG
rnacentral:lncRNA from 1 species